UUCUUCUUCUUUUUUGUGGUCAAGCUGCAAGGUUAAAUCUAGGUUCAAAGUUGAAUUAUUCAAGUCAACCAUCCCUUAUCAUGUCUGUCCUUUUUGUGGUCAAGCUGAUGGGUUAGGAACUAGGCUAAGCUUCAAGCUAAAGCGCAUAGUCACCAAGGUUAGAAUAUUGCUGAUGCAAAUCCUGCAAGUCAGGCUGAUAGAUAACUGAUACAUAGAUUGGCAUAGAUGUUUCUCAGCAAAACAACAGAAAAACACUUGCAUCCUGAAGAAGUACAGUAUUUAUUUAAAUCAAUACAGAGUUUAUAAGCUACACUCUGAACGUACAUAAAUCAAAGUUACAUAAUAAUAUACUACUUAAAUUGAAGUUACAUACUAUAGUUACAACUCAAAUCCAUCAGUCUUAUUUUCUACUCCUUGGGCUUCCUCGGCUUCGUCUCCUUCGGCUUUAAAUCUCCACUGUCGUUCAUUCUUUGGGGCCUCAGCAUCAUAUCAAGGAUACCAUGCAACUCCUCUGUUUCUCCAUAUAGCUUAAGCUUUUUCAUCUGGGAUUUGAGAUAACUAUUAUAACAAUCGUACUUCUCACAAAAAAGUGCAACGGACAACAGGCCCCACUUUGGUAUGUAUUUUGUCUGGUCUUUACUGAGAAAAGUCACCUUGUCCAGAUCUGCUGUAAAUAUUGCCCGAACACCAUUAAACCUCAGAGAUUCCGGUCCCAUGAUGGUCAUGGUGAGAACAGCAACUUUGAUGUCUUCCUCAGGGGUAAUCCUAGGAUCAUAAUUAGCCAUUAUGUGGAUAGCACGGAGUAGUGCCUCCCGUCCUAGUUGCACCUGGGUUAGGGAUUCAUAGCCACCUUUAAUGAGAUCUGGAUAGCUCUCACCAAAGGUGAGCUCUGUUCCGCGCCCAUGAAACAGUGCUCCGUAGCCUUUCAUGUAACACAAUCGAUCUGCUGGAGUCACGAAAGACAAAAAAUACAAAUUUUCAUUCCGCCACAUGAUCUUCACUCUAUCUUGACCUUCACCCAGCACCGUGACAUUUAUCCAUUGUGUUGGGGGGGUUAAUUUCUGAUCAACAUCCUUAUCUAAGGGCGCAAGCACGGUAUGUGUUUCAUGCAAGGGGCCAAACUGCCCCACUACAUGUACUUCGUGGUAGAAUGAUUGGUAUGAUGGUGCCAAAGCAUUCCAGAUUAUCCCCUCGCCCUCGGAUCGCGUGUAGAUGACAAAUGAGAAUAACACAGCGAUGAAAAUCAUCCUGUGUAAAAUCAAAACGGAAAUACAUCAGGACAUAACCAUGUUUUGGACUGAACAGGGAACAACUACAAAUUUAUUACUCAUGUUACCUGAUGUCCUGCCCCAUGGAUACUCCUUCCCUCUGAAGAAAAGCAAGUGGUGUGAAGUUGAAUGAAUUGUGCUUGGUGCAUAGGCAGGGCGUACAGUUGCUCUGUGUCUGUUCCAUGCAAGAACAUUUGUUGGGGGUAUAAAUACCACUCUUUAAUAUGAUUUUACCAAACAAUAAAGAACAUGGCUGCAGAAUGCCAUGCAAGUAGCACUUCUUGAUAUGAUUUAUCAAAAAAGAAAGAACAUUAGGUUGGGGGUAGACGUAGCACUUCUUGAUAUGAUUUAUCAAAAAAGAAAGAACAUUAGGUUGGGGGUAGACGUAGCACUUCUUGAUAUGAUUUAUCAAAAAAGUAAGAACUCAGGGCAGAAUGCCAUGCAAGAACAUUAGAUUGGGGGUAGAAGUAGAGUGAGGGCUUUUGCAGGCCGAGUUGCUCAUUUAGCUAGCAGCACAAUAGCCCAAGAGCGGCAGUUCGCUGAGUCCCAGCCAUCCACUUCUUCUGCCCACGCUGGAGACGCACGCAGCUAGCCAAUUUUUUCUACCCACGACGAGGUGGCGCUCUGUCUCUGUGCGUGCCGAACUGCCGAUUGCAAGCCAGGCGAGGGAGAGCUUGACCAAGCCGCUGGCGCCGGAUGGGAUGGAGCCCCCAUGGUUUCCGACGCUGCGGAGAACACGGACAAGUCACACAGUGCCGUGCAUGCCGCCGCUGGUGGGGAUGAGCGACGGGAUGUAGCACAGAAAGUGGGGAUGACCAGCGCGGUUGCCGCCGCCACGGUCGUCAACGCUGGGGAGGGGAGCGCAUCAAUGCAACGAUUGGCUGCAACAACCUCAUUCUCUAAGCCUAAAGUGAAAUCCUCACUCACUGGAAGUCCCUUCCAAUUCUGAAAUUGCAACCCCUAACUAACACUAGCUUCUAUUCUGAUUAGAGAGGUAUAACUCUGUACAUGUCACUACUGGUGUGCCUUGUGUUCGUGCCGUGCGGUUGAGGCAGUUGCAUGAUGUGAUUACCACUCAACUACGCCAACCAGUUAUCUUUCUUAGCCCAGAGCAACACAUUUCCUGCUACGCUCUAGUAUUGUCUGUCAUGUAUUCAGUUGUGCUCACAGUUAACUUAUCUUGCAGCAUAAUAUUUAUCUCAUUUGUUUCACUAUCAAAUUAUGCGGAUCUACCACCCAUAUCUGAUUUGACAUGUAUGAUUAUUGUAGCUGAGAGAGCCUAACUGUGAACAAUUUGCCCUUUUAUUUGUGUUGGCAUGGACUACUUGGCUUUUCUCUGUCAGGAUGAAAAAAAAUUGAACACCCAAAGUUAAAUUCCUGGAUCCGCCGGCCUGGACCGGCAUUUUGGUACAGGGGUGACGAUUCGAAACAGCACAGGAAGGGAUUCUCAAAAAAAAAAAAGCACAGGAAGGAGAAUCUCGUCCUCCACCUCUCCCCAUUCCCCAAACUUUACCUCAUGGGAGAAGCCCCAGCCACAUAACAGACUUUGCCUCUCUCCCCUCGGGCGAUGGCAGCGGGGGUGCUGCCCGGCGAGAUGUCCACCAGCGGCGUCGACUCUGUUGGGAUCCAUGGGGCUCCGGCUUGUGGUGCUUCCAUCCUACCCGUGGAGUCACAGGAUCCAUGAGCGUCAAUGUCCAGAUGGGCAGCGGCGGCGGGACUGGCGGUGGCGCCGCCGGAUACGUGAUGUGCUCUGAAGCUACCAGUGGCUGGAUAAGGAGGGUCAUUGGAGUUGUACCCAAAUUGCUGGGGAUGUUUGGUUCCAGAUUAACAGAAAGUUGAUGGAUGACACAAGGAAGCUUGGUUUUUGAGCUCAAAUGAUCGACGCCGUACUGGACAGAUUUGAGUUCUUUUUUACUGAGAAAUCCUGUACCAGCAGGGUGCCUAUCGGUCGUCAUCGUCGAAUGCAUCCGUGCUCCCUAUAGAGUCACAGGUUCUAUGAGCAUCGUCAAUGGCCGCCGCGGCAAGGGCAUGGAGGAAGGUGGGAACGACCCAGGGGAGCAAGGGUUAAUACUAAAAAUUUGGAAUUAUUGUUGUCCCGAAUGGCAUGGUAUUUUAGUUCAUUUUAGUCCAAAAAAAUCUUGCUGAUGAUGUACAUAUGAUACGGUCAGUGUGGUAUGACUUAGAGAGUAUCAUAGUCAUAGCAUCAUUGCAUGAAUUCUGAUAUGUGAUUGUGUUCUGUUGGUAGGAGAUGCAAUCUAAAUUAAGCAAUCAAAUGCGGAUUUGUCAUAUGCCACAGACCACAGCAGCUAGCUAGGGGAGUGUUUUCUGAUAACGGACAAUUCAAUUAUUUAUGUGAAAAGACUUGAUUCUCAGGCUGAGUGUGGAAGCUCAUUAUGCAUUUUUAUUGAUGUUUAUCUGAAAACCAUGCCCAUGCAUCAAUGCAUGACACAUGCUUGAAUCUCAAGCUCAGUGUGGAACCUCAUUAUUCAUUUUUUUUUUU